UGGUAUCUUCACCGCGGAGUCAUUCUUACAAAACAUAACCUUAUUUACAGGAAUUGGCAUGGAAAUACACAGUGUUUCUUUUGUCCGGACGAUGAGGCAAUAAAAUGUUUAUUCUUCCAAUAUAAAUUGGCUCAUUCUAUAUGGUGAGUCAUCCAAAUAGCUUCUGGCUUGUAUCCUCCUUGUCGUGUUGCUAAUAUAGUUAGCAACUUCCUACAUGGGAUUGAUCACAAGUUUAGAAUUCUUCUAAGGUGGGAGCGCUUUCGGUGA
rnacentral:rRNA from 1 species